UCUUAUGGAUGAGCAAAGAAAGUGGUUUCUUGAGCUGGAAUCUACUCCUGGUGAAGAUGCUGCAAA
rnacentral:pre_miRNA from 1 species